rnacentral:rRNA from 1 species
AUGAACGCUGGCGGCGUGCAUAACACAUUCAAGUCGAACGGUGAAGUGAUUUCCACUAUGUGGAAAUGACUUCGUGAGUAUGUUCUGAGGGACAUCCUCACCUAUCAAAUAUAGUAAAAGCUGUAUGAUGGUAGGGAAGCGAAGUUAGUUCUGUGUAGUGGAGGUCACUUCAUAGUGGCGGACGGGUGAGUAACGCGUGAGCAACCUACCUGCUAAGGAGGGAUAACACAGGGAAACUUGUGCUAAUACCGCAUGAUGUAUACGGAUCGCAUGUUCUGUAUACCAAAGGGAAACCGAUAGCAGAUGGGCUCGCGUUGGAUUAGAUAGUUGGCAGGGUAACGGCCUACCAAGUCUGCGAUCCAUAGCCGAACUGAGAGGUUGAACGGCCACAUUGGAACUGAGAAACGGUCCAGACUCCUACGGGAGGCAGCAGUGGGGAAUAUUGGGCAAUGGGCGAAAGCCUGACCCAGCGACGCCGCGUGAGGGAAGAAGGUCUUCGGAUUGUAAACCUCUUUCAGCAGGGAAGAAGAAAGUGACGGUACCUGCAGAAGAAGUCACGGCUAACUACGUGCCAGCAGCCGCGGUAAUACGUAGGUGGCGAGCGUUAUCCGGAAUUACUGGGUGUAAAGGGUGUGUAGGCGGGGUGUCAAGUCAGAUGUGAAAACUGUGGGCUCAACCCACAAACUGCAUUUGAAACUGAUACUCUUGAGAGUGGGAGAGGUAAACGGAAUUCCUGGUGUAGUAGUGAAAUGCGUAGAUAUCAGGAGGAACACCGGUGGCGAAGGCGGUUUACUGGACCACAACUGACGCUGAGACACGAAAGCGUGGGGAGCAAACAGGAUUAGAUACCCUGGUAGUCCACGCUGUAAACGAUGAAUACUAGGUGUGGGGAUCGUAGGAUUUCCGUGCCGCAGUUAACGCAAUAAGUAUUCCACCUGGGGAGUACGGCCGCAAGGUUGAAACUCAAAGGAAUUGACGGGAGCCCGCACAAGCAGUGGAGUAUGUGGUUUAAUUCGACGCAACGCGAAGAACCUUACCGGAGCUUGACAUCCUCGGAAGACCGAUGUAAAGUUGGUUGUGCCCCUUCGGGGGAACCGAGAGACAGGUGGUGCAUGGUUGUCGUCAGCUCGUGUCGUGAGAUGUUGGGUUAAGUCCCGCAACGAGCGCAACCCCUGUACUUAGUUGCCAGCAUGUAGAGAUGGGAACUCUAAGUAGACUGCCGCGAAUAACGCGGAGGAAGGUGGGGAUGACGUCAAAUCAUCAUGCCCUUUAUGUCCUGGGCUACACACGUACUACAAUGGGUGUAACAGAGGGAAGCAACACAGCGAUGUGAAGCGAAACCCAAAAAGCACCCCCAGUUCGGAUUGAAGGCUGAAAUUCGCCUUCAUGAAGCCGGAAUUGCUAGUAAUGGCAGGUCAGCAUACUGCCGUGAAUACGUUCCCGGGCCUUGUACACACCGCCCGUCACACCAUGAGAGUUGGGGAUACCCGGAGCCUGUGAGCCAACAUAUCUAUGAGGCAGCAGUCGAAGGUAGAAUCAAUGAUUGGGGUG